UGUUUGGUGAGGGCGGCUCGGCCCGUUGUUGUUAAUGGCGCGCGGGGGGUCGCACGGCUUCACCCCCGCCGGCGGCCAUGUCUGCUGAGGGCAGGGCGGUGCCGGGGAUGUUUAGGGGGCUGCGGGCAGCAAGCGGGCAGGGUGCUGCCCGUGGGCUGGGCAGACGCCUCAGGAUAGGCUCCACAGACUGAGACAGCCAAGCAGUGUGGCCCGUGGUCCCCUCGGCACGGAGACAAGCUUUAUUGUCCUUUUCCUGAGGCGCGUUCCCAGUUUCCCCACCACCUCAGUGUGACCUAACGCACAGACAGAGCUUGUGGUGCUGCCGGGCCAGGAUUUAGGGGAGGGAAGUGACCCCCGUCCUCAGAGCAGCCCGUGACCAGGACUUGCGUAUCUGGCACAGCAGGAAGGCGGGACAGACCCGGCUGCACCUUCAAGGAAGGACUCCCUCCGUGCCUCCGGGCGUGGCGGCACACCUAGCAAGGAGCAACGGACACAAGCACAAAGGAAAAGAUUGCCGGGAGGACCUGCUGUCUCCUUCAUUUUAGGCUAAGGAGAGCGCGAGCCGUAGACGAGGAUGGCCGCAAUCACGCCGAUGAUGCUGAAGAGGAUCUUGAGGAUGCGGGGCAGGGCGCUGGGGCGGGCCCUGCCUCGGGGCUGCAGGGCUCUGACCACACGCUGCCGCUGGGUCAGGAUUGCCUCCCUGGCACCCGCCCACGCACCCGGGCCCCGCAGCCGGUACUGGUACGGCGUGCAGGGACCGAAGGCCACCUCCAGAGCCAGCCUGGGGUCCGUGAGGAAGAGGACCUGUUUGGCUGUGUGGCUCAGCUCCACUGCGAUAUCGAUGCCUGAAUUCCCGGUGCCAACCACGACCACCCGCUUUCCUGAAAAGGGUUGUGGGCUCUUGUAGUCCCGGCUGUGCAGAACAGUCAGUGCAGCUGUUUGGCCAGUGCAGACCCUGCCUGACACCUGACCAGGAGGGCAAGACAGCACCAAACAUCCAAGUGCAGACCAGGAGCCUGCAGCACCGCUCGGGUACAAGUCUUGGCCAGACUGAUGGGGUUGAGGGUGCGAGUUCAAGUCUCAGUAUCCCCUCCCUUUUGCGUGCUUAGGAAACCAGCGCACGCCCCUCCUUUGUGAGGAGCCCGUCUGUCAGUGGUCCCAGAGCGCGAAGAGGGCGGGCGCGUUGAGCGGGGACAGCCAGCAGUGCUCCACCACGCUGUACAGGGUGUAGCCCAGCACCAGCCCGAACAGCACGUCCGUCAUGUUGUGCCUGCCCAGCAUCACCCUGGAGAUGCUGACGAUGAGGGCCCAGAGCACCACGAGGACGCGCAGCGGGACAGCGAGCACCAGGUGCCGCAGGACGAAGCGGCAGACCAGGGCGGCGCGGGUGGCGUGGCCCGAGGGGAAGGAGUACUUGUCCACCGAGAUGGUGACGAACAUGUCCAUCUUGUUGUGGGUGGGCCGUGGCCGCUUCACCAGCCCCUUCACCACGGCCACCAUCACCAGGUCCAGCAGCAAUGCUAGGAGAGACAGGAGCAGUGGGUUACUGAAAGCACAGCUGUUACCUAUGAAAGCGCUUGGCUGCCCAGACCUGCUAAGAGAAGGCAGUGUUUCCCAUGGCUGCAACACCCAGGCAGGGAGAGCACAGCACUCGUCUGCACUUGGCCUUCUGCAGCAUGACCACAUCCUCAACCUCUGCUCCCUCGUGCACCACCAGACCAUCUGCCUGCCACAGCCCAACAGGGCUCUGCCAGGGCUUUUGUGUAAAAUCUGAUCUCACUGUGACUCUGGGCUCAACCUGCCCCAUAACCUGAAGGCAGCAGAGGGACAACUCCCUUCCUGGCGGUGCUGACUCAGCACUGUUCUGCCUGCCCUGGUGACUGGAGUUCAAACGUACCGGGUGAAUGAUCAACCUGCUCCAAGCACUCAGCCACAGCUCAGUGUGAGGGGCUCUGAGCUGGUGUGGUGCCAAGGGUCCUGGAGUCUGGCUUCUCCCUGCUGCUGGAGGGAAAGCUAACUGUGCUUUGGUUUUCAAGACUAAAGGAUGAUUUAUGUAACAGUGGCUUGCCCCUGAGAGGUAAAGGCUGUUCUGGUAGAAGAUGCAAAGUACCUGUGAGAAGUGUUCAGCCAGUAUUUGGCAAGAGCAGCUCCUCGUGCAGGUCAGAGGGUACUUUCUCUACCCCUGUGAAUUCUGCUUAGCCCUCACAGCAAGGGCUAUUCUUCCAGGGAAGUCAUGUAAGAGACCAGCUUCUGCUUGUCCUAAGGCUUAUUUCUGGACACCAAACCUUUUGGUCACUUCAGUUCAUUUCCUUUGGUUAAUCAUUUCAGAAUAAAUAUUUUUU